rnacentral:rRNA from 1 species
GGAGUCUAGCAUGUGUGCAAGUCAUUGGGUGAUAAACCUAAAGGCGUAAUGAAAGUGAAAUUCGUCUCGAACGAACGAUAUGGGAUCCGUGUUGCUUGCGGGCAAUGCGGCGCACCAUAGCCCCGUCCCCGUUGCUUGCAAUGGGGCGGAGGUAGAGCGCAUACGCUGGGACCCGAAAGAUGGUGAACUAUGCCUGAGCAGGAUGAAGCCAGAGGAAACUCUGGUGGAAGUCCGAAGCGGUUCUGACGUGCAAAUCGAUCGUCUGACUUGGGUAUAGGGGCGAAAGACUAAUCGAACCAUCUAGUAGCUGGUUCCCUCUGAAGUUUCCCCCAGGAUAGCUGGAGUUUGUAUGGUGCAGUUAUAUUCGGUAAAGCGAAUGAUUAGAGGAAUUGGGGACGAAACGACCUCAACCUAUUCUCAAACUUUCAAUGGGUAUGAAGUCCCGCUUGCUUGACGUUGCUGAAGCGUGGACAUUGAAUGUGAGCUCCAAGUGGGCCAUUUUUGGUAAGCAGAACUGGCGCUGUGGA